UUUCGGGGCCUUGUGUUUGAACCCCACAUUGGGUGUAGAGAUUACUUAAAUGAAGAAAUAAAUCUUUAAAAAAGAGAUGAAGGAUGUCAGUCUACAGGUAUCAGCAUCUCAUGUUAAGGAAGUAGUGUCUUACCCAUUACACUUUUGUUUUUUUAUUAGCCCUUUGAGGGUCUGUUUAUUAUGUGAGUGUGUGUGUGCAUGUGUUUUAUUUAUAUAUAAUCAUGAGGACUGAGCACUAAGAAAUUGCAUAAUUUUUUUGUGUGUUUUAUAUACACUGUAGCUGUGGAUUCAAACUCUCAAACUUUGCAACCAAUAACAUUGGAAUUGAGAAGACGGAAAAUAUCAAAAGGAAGUGACGUCCCAUUAAAACGUUCUCGGCUUGACAAAAAUUCAUCCCAGGAAAAGUCAAAAACCUACUCGGAAACCACUGACAAAGACUUAUCGAGGAGACGGUCCUCCAGGCUGUCCACUAAUGGGACGCAUGAAAUCCUAGAUCCUGACUUGGUUGUAUCAGAUUUGGUUGAUACGGUUAACACUGAUCCUUUGCAAAACACAUCAUCCAUUAACAAGGAAUCUGAAGAAGGUCAGUUGAAAUCUCCUUUGGAAGCUGACCAGGUCUCAUCUGCAUUGACUUGCCACUCCUUUGGUGAUGGAUUGGGGGCUGCAGGCUUGGAGUUGAACUGCAAGUCAAUGGGAGAAAACAGCAUGAAGACAGAAUCGGCUUCUCCUCUUGCUGAGUUACAAGAGAUUUCUACUGUGGCAGGUUCCUAUUUAGUGUUAAGAUAAUUCUCUUCUCUAUAUGCUUUUGCUUCUGCUUUGUGAACUAAAAAAAAAGACAAGACGUUUCUAAUGAUGUUUUUUCACCUUUUAUUAAUAACUUUUCCUUAUUUUAAUGCUAUAUCCUUUUCAUUUCUGAUAUUGCUAAUUUGUGUUCCAUCUCUUUUGAUUAGUAUACUUAGGGAUUUAUCAAUUUUGUUGAUAGUUUCAAAGAACCAACCUUUUAUCUUAAUUUUCUCUAUUUGUCUUUUUAAAUGGUCAUUGAUUUCUAUUGC